UUGUUUAUACUUCUUUUGCUUUUGAGUAGUUUUGUUAAAUAUAUUUAUAAUAUUUUUUAUUUUAACAAAUAAUACCGGAGCAGUACAGUAUUAUUUCAACAUUUCCGUAUACGCGAUGCAAAAAUCUUGAUGCCAAGUAGUGAUAAACAAUGUAUAUAAAUGUAUUACCGAAGCUUUUAAUGAAAUAUUUUGCCUUAUACAAAGAUCCAUGAAGAUGAUUCCCGAAGGAAAUAUUGGAUUAAAAAAAGGGAAAAAUUCAAAAAUAAAACACAUAGUUAACCAAAUAGGUAAAAUAAAUAUAACAGGUCGACAAUAUACAACAACAACAUUUAACACGGAAGGCACAUCGCAUCACAACAAAGGAAAAUACAUUUAAAAUGAAUUUAUACAAAGAAAUUAAGCAAAAGUAUGGCACAAACACUAUCAAUAACACCAAACAUUUUUCCAGACAUCACAGGAAAACAGCAACUUUGACAAUAUCAACAACCUUUUUAAUAAAAUGCAGAUAACCAGGAGUAGUUUCAAAGCUAAUCACUAACACUACUAAAAACACAAACAGCAUAUUCCAAACAAAUGAAAAAAUGGCUCCAAAUUUAUUACCAACACUUGAAAAAUAUAAUUGCAACAAGAGUAUAAUAAUUACAAAUAAUAUAAAACAACAAAAGUAUACUCAAAAAAACUAAAGCGGACCAGCAGCAGGUAAUGGACGAAGAAGAUUACAAUAAAUACAUUGAGACCGAAAAUGUUCUCCGUCGCAGCUACGACAACAAAAAAAAGACACAUCAACAAAUACCAAGCAUUAAAACAAGAACAACAAUCAAUACUGAAUAUUCAACAUAACAACCAAUGGUUCACCAACGACAGCAACGUAAGCUUACCAAACGACGUUCAAUGGCUUUUGUCGAUGGGUCCCAAAUAUGCUUUGCAACAACAAAUAUGCCUUGCCUUUACUGAAUGUUAUUGUAGAAAGUGAAGAAUGCAUUCAAACGUUAGACGACAAAGAGGACAAAGAAAGCGCGAGAAAUGCAAUAGUCUCUCUAAUUGACGACCACUUACAAUAGACGAGAGUAUAAGAGAUAAACCAAUAAUGGACACAGUGGGUAGAACGAAACAAUUUUUUAAACAAAAUAAAGACGAAUUGAUUUUAAAUGCCGAUAAAGGAGGAAAGACGGUUGCAAUGCACAAGAUGGACUAUGAUAUGAAAAUGAAAACUAUUUUAAAGGAUAUGUAUACCAAUAAAAGGUUAAAGCGAGACCCAACUACGAAGUUACAGAAUAAAAACAACAAAUUAAUAGAUAAAUUAUAUAAAAUGGGAGCAGAUGAUAUGAUAGAGAAAAAUAAAUUGACAAACAAUACAAUGCGCCAAGAAUCUACGGACUUCUAAAAAUAAACAAAAAAGUACACCUGUGCGAUUAA